UCCGUAGGUGAACCUGCGGAAGGAUCAUUACUAGAGCAAAGGAUAGGCAGCGCCCCACAGAAGCUUGCUUCGUGGCGGGCUACCCUACUUCGGUAGGGUUUAGAGUCGUCGAACCUCUCGGAGAAGUUCGGUCCUGAACUCCACCCUUGAAUAAAUUACCUUUGUUGCUUUGGCGGGCCGCCUCGUGCCAGCGGCUUCGGCUGUUGAGUGCCCGCCAGAGGACCACAACUCUUGUUUUUUGUGAUGUCUGAGUACUAUAUAAUAGUUAAAACUUUCAACAACGGAUCUCUUGGUUCUGGCAUCGAUGAAGAACGCAGCGAAAUGCGAUAAGUAAUGUGAAUUGCAGAAUUCAGUGAAUCAUCGAAUCUUUGAACGCACAUUGCGCCCUCUGGUAUUCCGGGGGGCAUGCCUGUUCGAGCGUCAUUAUAACCACUCAAGCUCUCGCUUGGUAUUGGGGUUCGCGGUUCCGCGGCCCCCUAAAAUCAGUGGCGGUGCCUGUCGGCUCUACGCGUAGUAAUACUCCUCGCGGAUUGGAGGUCGGGGUAGGGGGUCUACCUGGCCCAGGCAACCCCCC
rnacentral:rRNA from 1 species